rnacentral:rRNA from 1 species
AUUGAACGCUGGCGGCAGGCUUAACACAUGCAAGUCGAGCGAGCGGCGGACGGGUGAGUAAUGUCUGGGAAACUGCCCGAUGGAGGGGGAUAACUACUGGAAACGGUAGCUAAUACCGCAUACCAUCAGAUGUGCCCAGAUGGGAUUAGCUAGGAGGUGGGGUAAUGGCUCACCUAGGCGACGAUCCCUAGCUGGUCUGAGAGGAGGACCGGCCACACUGGAACUGAGACACGGCCCAGACUCCUACGGGAGGCAGCAGUGGGGAAUAUUGCACAAUGGGCGCAAGCCUGAUGCAGCCAUGCCGCGUGUGUGAAGAAGGCCUUGGGGUUGUAAAGUACUUUCAGCGAGGAGGCGUUACUCGCAGAAGAAGCACCGGCUAACUCCGUGCCAGCAGCCGCGGUAAUAC